rnacentral:rRNA from 1 species
CCUACGGGUGGCAGCAGUGAGGAAUAUUGGUCAAUGGGCGCGAGCCUGAACCAGCCAAGUAGCGUGAAGGAUGACUGCCCUACGGGUUGUAAACUUCUUUUAUAAAGGAAUAAAGUGAGGCACGCGUGCCUUUUUGUAUGUACUUUAUGAAUAAGCAUCGGCUAACUCCGUGCCAGCAGCCGCGGUAAUACGGAGGAUCCGAGCGUUAUCCGGAUUUAUUGGGUUUAAAGGGAGCGUAGAUGGGUUGUUAAGUCAGUUGUGAAAGUUUGCGGCUCAACCGUAAAAGUGCAAUGGAUACUGGCAGCCUUGAGUAGCGUUGAGGUAGGCGGAAUGCGUGGUGUAGCGGUGAAAUGCUUAGAUAUCACGAAGAACUCCGAUUGCGAAGGCAGCUUACUAAACUGCCACUGACAUUGAUGCUCGAAAGUGUGGGUAUCAAACAGGAUUAGAUACCCUUGUAGUC